GACGAACGCUGGCGGCGUGCUUAACACAUGCAAGUCGAACGGAAAGGCCCUGCUUUUGUGGGGUGCUCGAGUGCCGAACGGGUGAGUAUCACGUGAGUAACCUGCCCCUGUCUUUGGGAUAACUUCAGGAAACUCGGGCUAAUAUCGGAUAGGAGCUCUUGCUGCAUGGUGUUGGUUGGUAAGUUUCGGCGGUUGGGGAUGGACUCGCGGCUUAUCCGCUUGUUGGUGGGGUAGUGGCUUACCAGGGCUUUGACGGGUAGCCGGCCUGAGAGGGUGACCGGCCACAUUGGGACUGAGAUACGGCCCAGACUCCUACGGGAGGCAGCGGUGGAGAAUAUUGCACAAUGGGCGGAAGCCUGAUGCAGCAACGCCGGGUGCGGGAUGACGGCUUUCGGGGUGUAAACCGCUUUCGCCUGUGACGAAGCGUGAGUGACGGUAAUGGGUAAAGAAGCACCGGCUAACUACGUG
rnacentral:rRNA from 1 species